CAGUCGCCGCGGUAAUCCGUAGGUGGCAAGCGUUGUCCGGAAUUAUUGGGCGUAAAGGGCUCGCAGGCGGUUUCUUAAGUCUGAUGUGAAAGCCCCCGGCUCAACCGGGGAGGGUCAUUGGAAACUGGGAAACUUGAGUGCAGAAGAGGAGAGUGGAUUUCCACGUGUAGCGGUGAAAUGCGUAGAGAUGUGGAGGAACACCAGUGGCGAAGGCGACUCUCUGGUCUGUAACUGACGCUGAGGAGCGAAAGCGUGGGGAGCGAACAGGAUUAGAUACCCCUGUAGUCCCUGUCUCUUAUAC
rnacentral:rRNA from 1 species